GAGAAAGUUAGUCAACUUU
rnacentral:snRNA from 1 species